CAACAGCCUCAUCCACUCCCCUCUCUGGCUGAGCAGGAUGGAGGUCUUCUAGUGGGAAUGUAUACAGGGUGGAUCCACCUAGCAGCUGAACUCAGAUAUUCAGUCGAGCCAGCAGUGGCCCCUGGCUCCCAGUAGCCUCAGCUGCUGCCAGUGGGACACACUGCAGGCCCAACCCAGCUACUGCUCCAGAUACACAUCUACCGUCCAGCGGAUCACACCCUCAGAGCCCCCCAGACCCUACAGUCCCAGACCCCAUAGUCCCGCUGACAGUAGGGGCUUCUCUAGUCCCUACCAUAUCCAGGUCCUCUUGUGGUGUCACCCUUGGAAACACACACCCCUGCCUUGCUCCCAGUCCACAUCACAUACUUGCAGCAAGCUCAGCUUGUCCAAGGCCCUGCUAGUCCUCACACACCCACUUGCACACCCUCACUCACACCAUGGGCACAUGGGCUUCUGAGCCCUGAUCCCUUCCCAGGGGUUGGUGCUUGAUUUCACAGAUGUUGUACCCAGGCACAUGAGCCCUUUGUGCAGAACAUGAAAAAGCAAGUCCACUGAUCACCUACUUUUUAUGCACUGCCUGCUCAGUCCCUUUAUUGUCCCAGGCUUCUUUCUGCUUCAAACCCCAUUGAUCUUUCCUUUAUGCUACCAAGCACAGUGCUAAACCAUAAUGACUUAUAACCAAGGCUAUUUUUCCAACACCCAUGGUUCCACAGGGUGGGACAUGUAUGAGUUGCUCAGAUGAAGACAACAAUUUAGGGCAAAGCUCUGGUCUGUCUGUCAUCGCACCAUCGUGAGUAGGUGCAGCAGUUGCACGAGAUGAGAGGGUGCUGCUAGGAUGAUAAGUGAGGAAUCUUCAAAGAAACAACUGGACAUGGAAUCUAGAAGUUUGGAUACCAGAGACGGUGGAUGAAGGUUCCAAAAGACAUAAUUUUGAAAGGCCAGAAAAAAGGUGCUGGAAAGAUGCUGUACAUCCCACCAAGAGGUUGGAAAGUAGUGUCUGAGUGUUUCCUGCUUGCUGAGUUUCCAGAAAUUAAUGUUGACGUAUUGUGUUUCUAAUAGUUAGGCUACUUAAAGCUUUGAAUAAGUGUUUAUUUUUAUUUAUGUUAAGAAGAUAUAUCUUAAAUUCUAGUUAUAAGAGCAAUUUAUAAUGCCAUUGAUUCUUAAGUAUUUGCAUUGAGAUUUAGAUGAAUUCUAAUAGUUGAAGAAUAAAGUGACAUAUAAGUUUCAUAGCUUGUACUGCAUUAUAAUUGCUGUAUGGAAAAAAAAAAGGAGUAUUUUUUAUUUGCAUUUCCC